rnacentral:rRNA from 1 species
UACAGAGGGGGCUAGCGUUGUUCGGAAUUACUGGGCGUAAAGCGCGCGCAGGCGGCCCUUUAAGUCUACCCGUGAAAUGCCGGAGCUCAACUCCGUGCACGCCGGGGGAUACUGGGGGGCUGGAGACAUGUAGAGGCAAGCGGAAUUCCGGGUGUAGCGGUGGAAUGCGUAGAUAUCCGGAAGAACACCUGAGGCGAAGGCGGCUUGCUGGGCAUGAUCUGACGCUGAGGCGCGAAAGCGUGGGGAGCAAACAGG